rnacentral:rRNA from 1 species
GAUGAACGCUGGCGGCGUGCCUAAUACAUGCAAGUCGAGCGAACAGACGAGGAGCUUGCUCCUCUGACGUUAGCGGCGGACGGGUGAGUAACACGUGGAUAACCUACCUAUAAGACUGGGAUAACUUCGGGAAACCGGAUCUAAUACCGGAUAAUAUAUUGAACCGCAUGGUUCAAUAGUGAAAGACGGUUUUGCUGUCACUUAUAGAUGUAUCCGCGCCGCAUUAGCUAGUUGGUAAGGUAACGGCUUACCAAGGCAACGAUGCGUAGCCGACCUGAGAGGAUGAUCAGCCACACUGGAACUGAGACACGGUCCAGACUCCUACGGGAGGCAGCAGUAGGGAAUCUUCCGCAAUGGGCGAAAGCCUGACGGAGCAACGCCGCGUGUGUGAUGAAGGUCUUCGGAUCGUAAAGCUCUGUUAGUAGGGAAGAACAAAUGUGUAAGUAAAUAUGCCCGUCUUGACGGUACCUACUCAGAAAGCCACGGCUAACUACGUG